UACGAAGGGGGCUAGCGUUGCUCGGAAUUACUGGGCGUAAAGCGCACGUAGGCGGCUUUGUAAGUUAGAGGUGAAAGCCCGGAGCUCAACUCCGGAAUUGCCUUUAAGACUGCAUCGCUUGAAUCCGGGAGAGGUGAGUGGAAUUCCGAGUGUAGAGGUGAAAUUCGUAGAUAUUCGGAAGAACACCAGUGGCGAAGGCGGCUCACUGGACCGGUAUUGACGCUGAGGUGCGAAAGCGUGGGGAGCAAACAGG
rnacentral:rRNA from 1 species